rnacentral:rRNA from 1 species
UACGGGGGGGCAAGCGUUGUUCGGAAUUACUGGGCGUAAAGGGCUCGUAGGUGGCCAACUAAGUCGGACGUGAAAUCCCUCAGCUUAACUGGGGAACUGCGUCCGAUACUGGAUGGCUCGAGUUUGGGAGAGGGAUGCGGAAUUCCAGGUGUAGCGGUGAAAUGCGUAGAUAUCGGAAGGAACACCAGUGGCGAAAGCGGCUUCCUGGUCCAGCACCGACGUUCAGGCACGAAAGCGUGGGGAGCAAACAGGG